AAAACAAAAAGAAAGAAUAGAAUAGAAAUAGAAACAGAAAGCCAAACGAAACAGAGAGUAGGGAAGGAAAGAAAAGAAAGAAAGGGAGAAAAGGAAAAAUUUAGAUUUCAAGGUUUGGAAGUUUAAUUGGUUAAGGCUAGACCGUUGAAUUAACAUCCCAGGCCGAUCCCGAAUUCAAUGAGGUAAAGCAUGUUGAGUAUUGGUAAUGGCAUGUACCUAGGACGUCUUAUGAGAGUCAUCUAGGUUGUGAAAGUCUUGAUGAAAUAAGUAAAUUAUGGUUGUUAAUGGUAUAUAGUAUGAAGUUGAAAUAAUUGAUAUAGUAAGUGAUAUACUUAAAAAGAUAAAUUGGAUAGGUUAUAAAAUGUUUUAGAUUGGUAAGAUUUGAGCAUAUUUAAGUGUAUUUGGAUUGUUUGAAUGUUAGAAAAUUGUAUUGGUUGUGUAUUGGUUGAAGUUUUAAUUUGCAGAGUUAGAAACAUUUAUUUUUAAUAAA